rnacentral:miRNA from 1 species
UACUUCAUUGACUGGAAGGAAUCUCUUCUGGUCAAUGAGGUUGUUAUACUUCAUUGACUGGAAGGAAUCCCUUCUGGUCAAUGAGGUU